UAUCAUCUCUUGCUUCUUCUGAUUAUCAUCAUCAUCACCUUCAAACGCUAGCCAAGACGGGGAUCGACUUAGCCCUAUAUCACCUGAUCUCACCUUCUUACUUGGGCUGAUGAUCACAGUUCCGCCUUUGGAACAUUCAUCUUUCUCCAUGAUUGUUUUUUUGACAGAGGAACUUGAUGACGAAUAAAGGUUCAAAUUAAGGUCCAGGUCUGUCCUAUGAUCUUCAAAUGUCUCUGAUUGGGUCUACAAAAUAAAUUUGAAACAUGUAUCACUUCAUGUUUGUGUGCAUAUCCUUACAUAUAUAUAAGUUAAUUUUACGCAUUCAUACCUUAGCCUCUAGGUGAAGCUGAACAUCAGGCUUUAUCAACAUGGCGCUAUCUGACUUUGAUCUUUGAAAGAACAGAGUAGUAGUGUUCUUCUCAAAUUUGGUUUGUUUUUGAUCUCCUUGUUUGCUCCUUUUGAAAGAACCAUGAAACGAUUCUCCAAAAACUUUCAUAUGAUCCCUCUUUUUAGAACAGAGUGUUCCAUCAUGUGGAGAAAACAUUAGAUCUUUUUUCUCUCUUUUGUGCUUAAAGAAUCUCUCUCUGGUGUUAGAAAACGAAUGAUCAGAUAGACGAACAGAUCGUGGAAGUCGUGU